GCAUAUCUGUCAAGUCAGAAACGUAAACAAACACGGACAACCGCCCGUAAAGAUUGUGUGCAGAAUAAUCGUAGAAUUUUAUGUGAAAACUCGGGAAAAGGAAAAACAUCAUUUCAUCCCGAAAUUUGGCAACAUUCGUCCGAGUAUGAUCGAGCAGCUGUGUGUGUGUAUGCCGACGAAAUACGACGCCGUUUCUACAACAAUCACUAAAGCCGGCUGUGAUCGUGAUCGGCACAUUCUCAACUGGACCAACACACCGGUCGUUGUGUAUCUUCAAGCAAACCAACGUUGCCAUACACCACAAAAUAGCAUGGAAAGGAAA